rnacentral:rRNA from 1 species
CUACGGGCGGCAGCAGUGGGGAAUAUUGGACAAUGGGGGAAACCCUGAUCCAGCAAUGCCGCGUGUGUGAAGAAGGCCUGCGGGUUGUAAAGCACUUUCGGUUGGGAGGACUGCUUCUAGCACUAAUAUUGUUGGAAGUUGACGUUACCUUCAGAAGAAGCACCGGCUAACUCCGUGCCAGCAGCCGCGGUAAUACGGAGGGUGCAAGCGUGUAAUCGGAAUUACUGGGCGUAAAGCGCGCGUAGGCGGCUAGAUCAGUCGGGUGUGAAAGCCCCGGGCUUAACCUGGGAACUGCAUCCGAUACUGUCUAGCUCGAGUACAGGAGAGGAGAGUGGAAUUCCACAUGUAGCGGUGAAAUGCGUAGAUAUGUGGAGGAACACCAAUGGCGAAGGCAGCUCUCUGGCCUGAUACUGACGCUGAGGUGCGAAAGCGUGGGGAGCAAACAGGAUUAGAUACCCCCGUAGUC